rnacentral:tRNA from 1 species
GUAGGUGUAGUUCAGUUGGUUAGAACGCCAGGAUGUGGCCCUGGAGGUCGCGGGUUCGAAUCCCGUCACUUACCCCA